AUCUGAAGAAAAUGGAGUUUGCACACCUGGUCCAGGGUGAUAUGACUGUAUCAUAAUAUGUCAGAAAGUUCCUAAAGUUUGGUUGGUAUUCCUCUGAGAGCAUGAUGGAUGAGGCAGAAAGGCAAAAAAGUUCGAGUGGGGCCUCCGUUCUGAUAUUAGACAACAGUUGUAUGUGUUCGAGCUCAGUACUUACUCAAUUAUUCUGGCCAAGGCACAACUAAUAGAGAGGAAC
rnacentral:lncRNA from 1 species